CCCUUAGAUGUCCUGGGCCGCACGCGCGCUACACUGACAUGUUCAACAAGUUUCUCCUAGUUCGACAGGACUGGGAAAUCUUUGAACGCAUGUCGUGAUAGGGAUAGAUCAUUGCAAUUAUUGAUCUUGAACGAGGAAUUCCUAGUAAACGCGAGUCAUCAGCUCGCAUUGAUUACGUCCCUGCCCUUUGUACACACCGCCCGUCGCACCUACCGAUUUAAUGUUUCGGUGAAGAUUCCGGAUAGGACUGAUUUGAUUUAUUUCAUUUCUGACCUAAAAGCUAUCUAAACCUCAACAUUUAGAGGAAGGUGAAGUCGUAACA
rnacentral:rRNA from 1 species